UUUCCUCAAAUUUUUUUUUUUCCUCAAAUUUUUUUUUCCUCAAAAUUUUUUUUUCCUCAAAAUUUUUUUUUCUCAAAUUUUUUUUUUCUCAAAUUUUUUUUCCUCAAAAUUUUUUUUCCUCAAAUUCUUUUUUCCUCAAAAAGUUUUUCAAAUUUUUUUUCGUUUCCUUAUUCGGUUUUCAUUUCCUUAUACAGUUUCUAUUUCCUUAUUCGAUUUCCAUUUCCUUAUUCGAUUUUCAUUUCCUUAUUCGGUUUCCUUUUUCCUUUUUCAAUGUUUAUUUCCUUUUUCAGUUUCUAUUUCCUUAUUCGGUUUCUAUUUCCUAAUUGGAUUUUCAUUUCCUUAUUCGAUUUCCAUUUCCUUAUUCGAUUUCCAUUUCCUUAUUCGGUUUCUAUUUCCUUAUUGGGUUUCUAUUUCCUUAUUGGGUUUCUAUUUCCUUAUUGGAUUUUCGUUUCCUUAUUCGAUUUCCAUUUCCUUAUUCGAUUUCCAUUUCCUAAUUCGGUUUCUUUUUCCUUUUUCAAUCUUCAUUUCCUUUUUCGGUUUCGAUUUCCUUAUUCGGUUUCUAUUUCCUUAUUCAGUUUCCAUUUCCUUAUUGGAUUUUCAUUUCCUUAUUGGAUUUUCAUUUCCUUAUUCGGUUUCUUUUCCUUAUUCGGUUUCUAUUUCCUUAUUCAGUUUCCAUUUCCUUAUUGGAUUUUCAUUUCCUUAUUGGAUUUUCAUUUCCUUAUUCGGUUUCCAUUUCCUUUUUCGAUAUUCAAAUUUUGAAAAAUAUUACAAGUCCAAACUGAAUUUUUUUUUUCCUUCAAAAUUUUUUUCCUCAAAUUUUUUUUUCCUCAAAAUUUUUUUUCCUCAAAAAUUUUUUUUCCUCAAAAAUUUUUUUUUCCUCAAAUUUUUUUUU
rnacentral:lncRNA from 1 species